AAUCAACGCUGGCGGCGUGCCUCAGACAUGCAAGUCGAACGCGAAAGUCCCCUUCGGGGGGCAAGUAGAGUGGCGCACGGGUGAGUAACACGUAGGUAAUCUACCUUUGGAUGGGGAAUAACCCGGGGAAACCCGAGCUAAUACCGCAUAAUGCAGCGGCACCGCAAGGUGACAGUUGUUAAAGGAGCAAUCCGCUUAAAGAGGAGCUUGCGGCAGAUUAGCUAGUUGGUAAGGAAUGGCUUACCAAGGCUACGAUCUGUAUCCGGUCUAAGAGGACGGUCGGACACACUGA
rnacentral:rRNA from 1 species